rnacentral:misc_RNA from 1 species
AACGCAUCUUGCACUCCUUGGUAUUCCGAGGAGUAUGCCUGUUUGAGUGUCAUGAAUUCUUCAACCCUCUCUUUUCUUAGUGAUUAGAGAGGAGCUUGGAUUCUGAGUGUUGCUCCUUACACGAGCUCAUUCGUAAUGCAUUAGCAUCCAUAUUCGAACUUUCGGAUUGACUUGGCGUAAUAGACUAUUCGCUGAGGAAUCUAACUUCGGUUAGAGCCGGGUUUGAACUAGGAAGCUACUAAUCUAGCUUAGUCUACUUUUAGAUUAGAUCUCAAAUCAGGUAGGAUUACCCGCUGAACUUAA